AUCUCGUGAUGUGGACAUCUCCUUUGAAGAUCUUUGUAUCUCUGCCAUGCUUCAUAAAGAAUUUCAUCAUCUGUUGGUUUAAAAAAGCUCAACUCAUUCCUCAAUUU